rnacentral:rRNA from 1 species
GAUGAACGCUGGCGGCGUGCCUAAUACAUGCAAGUCGAGCGAACAGAUGAGGAGCUUGCUCCUCUGACGUUAGCGGCGGACGGGUGAGUAACACGUGGAUAACCUACCUAUAAGACUGGUAUAACUUCGGGAAACCGGAGCUAAUACCGGAUAAUAUAUUGAACCGCAUGGUUCAAUAGUGAAAGACGGUUUUGCUGUCACUUAUAGAUGGAUCCGCGCCGCAUUAGCUAGUUGGUAAGGUAACGGCUUACCAAGGCAACGAUGCGUAGCCGACCUGAGAGGGUGAUCGGCCACACUGGAACUGAGCCACGGUCCAGACUCCUACGGGAGGCAGCAGUAGGGAAUCUGCCGCAAUGGGCGAAAGCCUGACGGAGCAACGCCGCGUGAGUGAUGAAGGUCUUCGGAUCGUAAAACUCUGUUAUUAGGGAAGAACAAAUGUGUAAGUAACUAUGCACGUCUUGACGGUACCUAAUCAGAAAGCCACGGCUAACUACGUG